rnacentral:rRNA from 1 species
GAUGAACGCUGGCGGCGUGCCUAAUACAUGCAAGUCGAGCGAACAGACGAGGAGCUUGCUCCUCUGACGUUAGCGGCGGACGGGUGAGUAACACGUGGAUAACCUACCUAUAAGACUGGGAUAACUUCGGGAAACCGGAGCUAAUACCGGAUAAUAUAUUGAACCGCAUGGUUCAAUAGUGAAAGACGGUUUUGCUGUCACUUAUAGAUGGAUCCGCGCCGCAUUAGCUAGUUGGUAAGGUAACGGCUUACCAAGGCAACGAUGCGUAGCCGACCUGAGAGGGUGAUCGGCCACACUGGAACUGAGACACGGUCCAGACUCCUACGGGAGGCAGCAGUAGGGAAUCUUCCGCAAUGGGCGAAAGCCUGACGGAGCAACGCCGCGUGAGUGAUGAAGGUCUGCGGAUCGUAAAACUCUGUUAUUAGGGAAGAACAAAUGUGUAAGUAACUAUGCACGUCUUGACGGUACCGAAUCAGAAAGCCACGGCUAACUACGU